rnacentral:rRNA from 1 species
AGCGAACAUUGGCGGUAGGCUUAACACAUGCAAGUCGAGCGAGGCUUCGAGCCGAGCGGCGAACGGGUGAGUAAUACUUGGGAAUCUACCCUGGAGUGGGGGAUAACGUCCAGAAAUGGACGCUAAUACCGCAUAAUCCACAUUGGGAAAGCGCGCUGCGCUUUAGGAUGAGCCCAAGCCUGAUUAGCUAGUUGGUGGGGUAAAGGCCCACCAAGGCGACGAUCAGUAGCUGGUCUGAGAGGAUGAUCAGCCACACUGGAACUGAAACACGGUCCAGACUCCUACGGGAGGCAGCAGUGGGGAAUCUUGCGCAAUGGGGGCAACCCUGACGCAGCCAUACCGCGUGUGCGAUGAAGGUCUUCGGAUUGUAAAGCACUUUCGGCGGGGACGACAAUGACGGUACCCGCAUAAGAAGUCACGGCUAACUUCGUGCCAGCCGCCGCAGUAA